rnacentral:rRNA from 1 species
CUACGUGCCAGCAGCCGCGGUAAUACGUAGGUCCCGAGCGUUGUCCGGAUUUAUUGGGCGUAAAGCGAGCGCAGGCGGUUAGAUAAGUCUGAAGUUAAAGGCUGUGGCUUAACCAUAGUACGCUUUGGAAACUGUUUAACUUGAGUGCAAGAGGGGAGAGUGGAAUUCCAUGUGUAGCGGUGAAAUGCGUAGAUAUAUGGAGGAACACCGGUGGCGAAAGCGGCUCUCUGGCUUGUAACUGACGCUGAGGCUCGAAGGUGCGGGUAUCAAACAGGAUUAGAUACCCUGGUAGUCCGCACAGUAAACGAUGGAUGCCCGCUGUUGGUACCUGGUAUCAGCGGCUAAGCGAAAGCAUUAAGCAUCCCACCUGGGGAGUACGCCGGCAACGGUGAAACUCAAAGGAAUUGACGGGGGCCCGCACAAGCGGAGGAACAUGUGGUUUAAUUCGAUGAUACGCGAGGAACCUUACCCGGGCU